UCUACAUCACAGAGGGAAAUAAGCAGAGGUCCAGAAACAGGGCUACCCACCAAUCGCGUGGUGACAGAGGAGAGAGGGUCCUAAGGACAGAUGAGGAUGUUCUUGAUUUUGUACUCCAAGUAAAUGUAUUUAAGAAUGGUUACCCCAACCUCUGAGAAAUCUGAAAGUGGCAGCUGGAAAUGCCAGGAGAACACAUGGCAACACUGAAUUGACAGAGUUCAAACACCAAAGGGGCAUUUGAGAACUGGAGCUGCCCGAUGGCAAGAGGGCACUUGUAUCAGAAGCUUCACUGCACAGGCCUACAAUAAAUGGUGCCUUGACAUCAAAUGAGUUGGUUGGCUAGUUCCUUCCCCAUGAAAUUGUUAUUUUAAACCCCAAACUACCUGGCAUAAUUUCCAGUCUGCUGACUGAAAAUCAGAAUGGAGCAUAACUAUUUUCCUUGCAGAAAAAGGCUGCCCAGGGAUGUACUGGAGAUGAUCAGGAGAGACAUGCUUUUCUCCUUCAAACCUUUUGCCUGCUUUGUAUUUCCAGUUUUCACAGCCCACCUUUUUCAGAGACCACACACAGAGACUACACUGAUUGGAAUCAAGUUUAAAGGCAUGGCUUACAUUCAGGCCAUCUCUGACAGAGCAAGAGUCAAAAAAUAUGUAUUUGAAAUCUGCUGAUUGUCAUUUGGUUGCAGUGCUUUAUUUGGAAAAACUACUUCCAGGAACUGUGUUGGGAUGCCAAAGCUGACUAGACUGCACCUUUGCCUUUAACAUUACAGAUUUUAAAAAAAGUUAAAAAAACAAAAAACCCUCAUUUUUUUCAAGCAAUAUCCCAUAUACUUACAGUCCAACUGAUAUUUA
rnacentral:lncRNA from 1 species